AUUGAACGCUGGCGGCAUGCCUUACACAUGCAAGUCGAACGGCAGCGGGCCUUCGGGUGCCGGCGAGUGGCGAACGGGUGAGUAAUGCAUCGGAACGUGCCAUUGAGUGGGGGAUAACGUAGCGAAAGUUGCGCUAAUACCGCAUAUUCUGUGAGCAGGAAAGCAGGGGACCGCAAGGCCUUGCGCUCUUUGAGCGGCCGAUGUCAGAUUAGCUAGUUGGUGAGGUAAAGGCUUACCAAGGCGACGAUCUGUAGCGGGUCUGAGAGGAUGAUCCGCCACACUGGAACUGAGACACGGUCCAGACUCCUACGGGAGGCAGCAGUGGGGAAUUUUGGACAAUGGGGGCAACCCUGAUCCAGCCAUGCCGCGUGAGUGAAGAAGGCC
rnacentral:rRNA from 1 species